rfam:Schistosoma mansoni strain Puerto Rico chromosome 1, complete genome
GCUCAGCUGAUGAGUCGCAGAUGGGACGAAACGCGCGUUCUGGAU